rnacentral:rRNA from 1 species
GUGAAAUGCGUAGAGAUGUGGAGGAAUACCGAUGGCGAAGGCAGCCCCCUGGGAUAACACUGACGCUCAUGCACGAAAGCGUGGGAGCAAACAGGAUUAGAUACCCUGGUAGUCCACGCCCUAAACGAUGUCUACUAGUUGUCGGGUCUUAAUUGACUUGGUAACGCAGCUAACGCGUGAAGUAGACCGCCUGGGGAGUACGGUCGCAAGAUUAAAACUCAAAGGAAUUGACGGGGACCCGCACAAGCGGUGGAUGAUGUGGAUUAAUUCGAUGCAACGCGAAAAACCUUACCUACUUUGACAUGUACGGAACGCCUGAGAGAUUAGGUGGUGCUCGAAAGAGAACCGUAACACAGGUGCUGCAUGGCUGUCGUCAGCUCGUGUCGUGAGAUGUUGGGUUAAGUCCCGCAACGAGCGCAACCCUUGUCAUUAGUUGCUACGAAAGGGCACUCUAAUGAGACUGCCGGUGACAAACCGGAGGAAGGUGGGGAUGACGUCAAGUCCUCAUGGCCCUUAUGGGUAGGGCUUCACACGUCAUACAAUGGUACAUACAGAGGGCCGCCAACCCGCGAGGGGAGCUAAUCCCAGAAAGUGUAUCGUAGUCCGGAUUGUAGUCUGCAACUCGACUACAUGAAGUUGGAAUCGCUAGUAAUCGCGGAUCAGCAUGUCGCGGUGAAUACGUUCCCGGGUCUUGUACACACCGCCCGUCACACCAUGGGAGCGGGUUUCACCAGAAGUAGGUAGCCUAACCGUAAGGAGGGCGCUUACCACGGUGGGAUUCGUGACUGGGGUGAAGUCGUAACAAGGUAGCCGUAUCGGAAGGUGCGGCUGGAUCACCUCCUUUCUA